GGCGAACGGGUGAGUAAUACAUCGGAACGUGCCCUUUAGUGGGGGAUAGCUCGGCGAAAGCCGGAUUAAUACCGCAUACGACCUACGGGUGAAAGCGGGGGACCGCAAGGCCUCGCGCUAUUGGAGCGGCCGAUGCCCGAUUAGCUAGUUGGUGAGGUAAAGGCUCACCAAGGCAACGAUCGGUAGCUGGUCUGAGAGGACGACCAGCCACACUGGGACUGAGACACGGCCCAGACUCCUACGGGAGGCAGCAGUGGGGAAUUUUGGACAAUGGGCGCAAGCCUGAUCCAGCCAUGCCGCGUGCGGGAAGAAGGCCUUCGGGUUGUAAACCGCUUUUGGCAGGAACGAAACGGCGCGGGCGAAUAUCCCGCGCUAAUGACGGUACCUGCAGAAUAAGCACCGGCUAACUACGUGCCAGCAGCCGCGGUAAUACGUAGGGUGCGAGCGUUAAUCGGAAUUACUGGGCGUAAAGCGUACGCAGGCGGCCAUGCAAGACAGAUGUGAAAUCCCCGGGCUCAACCUGGGAACUGCAUUUGUGACUGCAUGGCUAGAGUCCGUUAGA
rnacentral:rRNA from 1 species